rnacentral:rRNA from 1 species
UUAGAGUUUGAUCCUGGCUCUGAUUGAACGAUGGCGGCAGGCCUAACACAUGCAAGUCGAGCGGUAGAGAGAAGCUUGCUUCGCUUGAGAGCGGCGGACGGGUGAGUAAUGCCUAGGAAUCUGCCUGGUAGUGGGGGAUAACGUUCGGAAACGGACGCUAAUACCGCAUACGUCCCACGGGAGAAAGCAGGGGACCUUCGGGCCUUGCGCUAUCAGAUGAGCCUAGGUCGGAUUAGCUAGUUGGUGGGGUAAUGGCUCACCAAGGCGACGAUCCGUAACUGGUCUGAGAGGAUGAUCAGUCACACUGGAACUGAGACACGGUCCAGACUCCUACGGGAGGCAGCAGUGGGGAAUAUUGGACAAUGGGCGAAAGCUGAUCCAGCCAUGCCGCGUGUGUGAAGAAGGUCUUCGGAUUGUAAAGCACUUUAAGUUGGGAGGAAGGGUUGUAGAUUAAUACUCUGCAAUUUUGACGUUACCGACAGAAUAAGCACCGGCUAACUCUGUGCCAGCAGCCGCGGUAAUACAGAGGGUGCAAGCGUUAAUCGGAAUUACUGGGCGUAAAGCGCGCGUAGGUGGUUUGUUAAGUUGGAUGUGAAAUCCCCGGGCUCAACCUGGGAACUGCAUUCAAAACUGACUGACUAGAGUAUGGUAGAGGGUGGUGGAAUUGCCUGUGUAGCGGUGAAAUGCGUAGAUAUAGGAAGGAACACCAGUGGCGAAGGCGACCACCUGGACUAAUACUGACACUGAGGUGCGAAAGCUGGGGGAGCAAACAGGAUUAGAUACCCUGGUAGUCCACGCCGUAAACGAUGUCAACUAGCCGUUGGAAGCCUUGAGCUUUUAGUGGCGACUAACGCAUUAAGUUGACCSCCUGGGGAGUACGGCCGCAAGGUUAAAACUCAAAUGAAUUGACGGGGGCCCGCACAAGCGGUGGAGCAUGUGGUUUAAUUCGAAGCAACGCGAAGAACCUUACCAGGCCUUGACAUCCAAUGAACUAUUCUAGAGAUAGAUUGGUGCCUUCGGGAACAUUGAGACAGGUGCUGCAUGGCUGUCGUCAGCUCGUGUCGUGAGAUGUUGGGUUAAGUCCCGUAACGAGCGCAACCCUUGUCCUUAGUUACCAGCACGUUAUGGUGGGCACUCUAAGGAGACUGCCGGUGACAAACCGGAGGAAGGUGGGGAUGACGUCAAGUCAUCAUGGCCCUUACGGCCUGGGCUACACACGUGCUACAAUGGUCGGUACAGAGGGUUGCCAAGCCGCGAGGUGGAGCUAAUCCCAUAAAACCGAUCGUAGUCCGGAUCGCAGUCUGCAACUCGACUGCGUGAAGUCGGAAUCGCUAGUAAUCYCGAAUCAGAAUGUCGCGGUGAAUACGUUCCCGGGCCUUGUACACACCGCCCGUCACACCAUGGGAGUGGGUUGCACGAGAAGUAGCUAGUCUAACUUCGGGAGGACGGUUACCACGGUGUGAUUCAUGACUGGGGUGAAGUCGUAACAAGGUAGCCGUAAGGGGAACUGCGGCUGGAUCACUCCUUAAU